UACGUAGGGUGCGAGCGUUAAUCGGAAUUACUGGGCGUAAAGCGUGCGUAGGUGGUUCGUUGUGUCUGUGGUGAAAGCCCCGGGCUUAACCUGGGAAUGGCCAUGGAAACUGGCGAGCUGGAGUCUGGCAGAGGGGGGUGGAAUUCCACGUGUAGCAGUGAAAUGCGCAGAUAUCAGGAAGAACACCAAUGGCGAAGGCAGGUCUCUGGGCAUUAACUGACGCUGAGGAGCGAAAGCAUGGGGAGCGAACAGG
rnacentral:rRNA from 1 species